rnacentral:rRNA from 1 species
UGGCAGGCGGCAGCUAUACAUGCAGUCGGACGGGAUCCAUCGAUAGCUUGCUAUCACAUGGUGAGAGUGGCGCACGGGUGCGUAACGCGUGAGCAACCUGCCUCCAUCAGGGGGAUAGCCUCUCGAAAGAGAGAUUAACACCGCAUAACAUAUUGUUCCGGCAUCGGACGAAUAUUAAAUAUUUAUAGGAUGGAGAUGGGCUCGCGUGACAUUAGCUUGUUGGUGGGGUAACGGCUCACCAAGGCGACGAUGUCUAGGGGCUCUGAGAGGAGAAUCCCCCACACUGGUACUGAGACACGGACCAGACUCCUACGGGAGGCAGCAGUAAGGAAUAUUGGUCAAUGGGCGGAAGCCUGAACCAGCCAUGCCGCGUGCAGGAUGACUGCCCUAUGGGUUGUAAACUGCUUUUGUCCGGGAAUAAACCUCCUUACGAGUAGGGAGCUGAAUGUACCGGAAGAAUAAGGAUCGGCUAACUCCGUGCCAGCAGCCGCGGUAAUACGGAGGAUCCGAGCGUUAUCCGGAUUUAUUGGGUUUAAAGGGUGCGUAGGCGGCCUGUUAAGUCAGGGGUGAAAUACGGUGGCUCAACCAUCGCAGUGCCUUUGAUACUGACGGGCUUGAAUCCAUAUGAAGUGGGCGGAAUAAGACAAGUAGCGGUGAAAUGCAUAGAUAUGUCUUAGAACUCCGAUUGCGAAGGCAGCUCACUAAGCUGGUAUUGACGCUGAUGCACGAAAGCGUGGGGAUCGAACAGGAUUAGAUACCCUGGUAGUCCACGCCCUAAACGAUGAUAACUCGAUGUUGGCGAUAGACAGCCAGCGUCCCAGCGAAAGCGUUAAGUUAUCCACCUGGGGAGUACGCCCGCAAGGGUGAAACUCAAAGGA